rnacentral:tRNA from 1 species
UAAAUUUUAAGUUAAUAAAACUAAGAGCCUUCAAAGCUCUAAUUAAGAUAUCUUAAAUUUAC